rnacentral:rRNA from 1 species
AGUGAACGCUGGCGGCAGGCCUAACACAUGCAAGUCGAGCGGAUGAACAGUGAUUGCUCCUUGUUUCGGGUGCGGACGGGUGGGUAGGUCCUAAGAAUCUCCGUAUCUAUUUUUUCGAACGUCCGGACACGGGCGCUCAUACCCCAUUACCCCUUACGACGUACGGGUGAGAGCAGGGGACCUUAGGCCCUUAGAUGAGUCUAUGACGGAUUAGCUAGUUGGUGGGGUAAAGGCCUACCAAGGCGACGAUCCGUAGCUGGUCUGAGAGGAUGAUCAGUCACACUGGAACUGAGACACGGUCCAGACUCCUACGGGAGGCAGCAGUGGGGAAUAUUGGACAAUGGGCGAAAGCCUGAUCCAGCCAUGCCGCGUGGGUGAAGAAGGUCUUCGGGUUGUAAAGCCCUUUUAUUGGGGAAGAAAGGCAGUAGGUUAAUACCCCGCUGUUUUGACGGUACCAAAAGAAUAAGCACCGGCUAACUUCGUG